rnacentral:rRNA from 1 species
UACGGAGGGCGCAAGCGUUGUUCGGAAUCACUGGGCGUAAAGCGCGUGUAGGCGGCCGGGCAAGUCGGAUGUGAAAUCCCGAGGCUCAACCUCGGAACUGCACUCGAAACUGCUCGGCUCGAGUCUUGGAGAGGAUGGCGGAAUUCCCGGUGUAGGGGUGAAAUCCGUAGAUAUCGGGAGGAACACCAGCGGCGAAGGCGGCCAUCUGGACGGUGACUGACGCUGAGACGCGAAAGCGUGGGGAGCAAACAGG